GUUUCUUCUUCCUGCUGAUAUCUAAUCUAACUCAGACUGAUCGGUUAAAACCACACGACCGCCCUUCUUCUCAAGCAGCUCUUGUCAGUCCACUGUAGCUUAGAUCUGCUGUUCAGGUAUCGAACGCUAAAAGAACGUUUUUUUUUUUUCGUUGAUUGGAACACAAAACAUCCGCAUACCAAGAAUAACAUUUAAAACAAGAGUUCUGAAAAGAUGUUAAUAAAAUUGGACCAGAUAAAUUAGGCUAACGUUACAUUACAUUUCCUGAAAUUCCGGCUGCAUGUUGUAUAGUUGCAAGUUAGUUUUAUAUCAUUUUAACUUAAAUAUAAAUGAGGAAACACCUUUAACGGAAAAAAAUAUCCACUUUGGCCCGGAGGUGUUGGGGGAAAUAAGUUUGAGUUUCCCGCUCGACCUGUAUCACACACCACAAGCAGGUAGCCUUCAUCAAGACAGCUGGCUUAAACCAGAGACAGUUUAUACUCACUUCGCAUAUAAAACCCUUGUCCAUUCAUGGCUCCGACUCUUAGAGAGGUUUCUUUGUGUUGCUUGUGGAUCAUCAGUGUUGGAGUGUUCAGUAGCCUAUUCAGUUUCUAUCUCCGCAACGUCACGGUUGGAACAACACCAUAUGACAAUGAUAAUCCCAGGCACUGAUUAUGUGCUUUAUUUAAUGUUUUAAGGGUUUAAUGUGAGUUUGAAUAUCAUUUUGUGUGACCUCUUAUAGCCCUCUUAUACAUGAAUAUUUUCACUCAAUGUGUUAGAUGUGUUUUAAAAGAGAACACUGUGAAGAAACACACUGAAACCAUAAAAACAAAACAAAAAAACUGAUGAUAUAAUGAAAGAUGAUAUACUGUAACUUGUUUGAAAUAAUAGACUAUUGUUCAUGAACUUUAACUGCUUGAACACAUUUUUAUAGCCUGUUUUAAGGUGAAUGUUCCUGAAAGGUGUCUGGUGGCAGUCCGAGGUCGUCCAGCUCUACUGGGCUGUGAGUUCACAUCUGAUCCUGAACUGUCCAGUCUGGUUGUUACCUGGCAACGUCAGGAGGACUCACAAGUCGUCCACAGUUUCUAUUAUCAGCAGGACAAUUUGGACAGACAGAGUCCAGAAUACCACAACCGGACCUCAUUGUAUAUGUCAGAGCUUGGUAAAGGUAAUGCCUCUCUAUGAAUAAAUCCAGUUGGACCAAAGGAUGCAGGCCUGUACCUGUGUCAAGUGAGCAAUGCUAAAGGGACUGGAAAGGCUCUGAUAGAGCUGGACUAUGGGGCCCUUUAUUCAGAGCCUAGGCUCAACAUUUAUGUGAACUCCACUACUGUGACAGUUGAGUUUGAGACAGAAGGUUUCCCCAAACCUGAGGUGAUCUGGUUGGGGGAAAAUAACCAGAAUCUCACCUAUGACCUGGAGAUCCACGACCAAACAGAAGAUGGACUUUAUUACAUAAAGAGCAGUUAUGAGGCUCAGAAGCCAGCGGUUAAUGUCACAUUUACAUUAAAGAAUCACCUCCUGAAUCAGAACCUGCAGAGAACAGUGUGCCUCAGCUUUGUUUCAGAUGGAGAUGAUGGAAGCACUACAGUCAUUAUUCUCUCAAUACUGGUUGUCAUUCUUUUUGCUGUUGUGAUGUUUUUACUGUUAAGAAAACAAAUAAAGUCCUACCUAUGAACCUCCAA